rnacentral:rRNA from 1 species
AUACGGAGGAUGCGAGCGUUAUCCGGAUUUAUUGGGUUUAAAGGGUGCGUAGGCUGUGCGUUAAGUCAGGGGUGAAAUGCCGUCGCUCAACGACGGAGCUGCCCUUGAUACUGGCGUGCUGGAGUACGGAUGCCGUUGGAGGAAUGAGUGGUGUAGCGGUGAAAUGCUUAGAUAUCACUCAGAACACCGAUUGCGAAGGCAUCUGACGAAUCCGUCACUGACGCUGAGGCACGAAAGCGUGGGGAUAGAACAGGAUUAGAUACCCUGGUAUUCCACGCCGUAAACGAUGAUGACUAACCGUCGGCGAUAGACAGCCGGUGGCCAAGCGAAAGCGAUAAGUCAUCCACCUGGGGAGUACGUCGGCAACGAUGAAACUUAAAUGAAUUGGCGGGG